UACGUAGGGGGCAAGCGUUGUCCGGAAUCAUUGGGCGUAAAGGGCUCGUAGGUGGCCAACUAAGUCGGACGUGAAAUCCCUCGGCUUAACCGGGGAACUGCGUCCGAUACUGGUUGGCUUGAGUUUGGGAGAGGGAUGCGGAAUUCCAGGUGUAGCGGUGAAAUGCGUAGAUAUCUGGAGGAACACCGGUGGCGAAGGCGGCAUCCUGGACCAAUACUGACGCUGAGGAGCGAAAGCCAGGGGAGCAAACGGG
rnacentral:rRNA from 1 species